GGCUUUUGGUCUCAGGCAUGGUAGAAAACCAGAGCCAAACUCCUGCAGCAGGCGUGGGUCUUAAUGGUAGUCUUCGGCAGCGAAGUGGCGCCCACAAACACGUACAACACUGCUGCGCUUCGAUUGUGCCGUAACUCCGAUGCGCUCAAGCCAGGCAUUUCGCAAGGUGACAUCACGAGGUAACACGUGUCCCGUCUUUUCGUUUUUCCACUCGGCGCUUUUGCAGCC
rnacentral:lncRNA from 1 species